AGACCCGAAACCCGGUGAUCUAGCCAUGGGCAGGUUGAAGGUUGGGUAACACUAACUGGAGGACCGAACCGACUAAUGUUGAAAAAUUAGCGGAUGACCUGUGGCUGGGGGUGAAAGGCCAAUCAAACCGGGAGAUAGCUGGUUCUCCCCGAAAGCUAUUUAGGUAGCGCCUCGUGAAUUCAUCUCCGGGGGUAGAGCACUGUUUCGGCUAGGGGGCCAUCCCGGCUUACCAACCCGAUGCAAACUGCGAAUACCGGAGAAUGUUAUCACGGGAGACACACGGCGGGUGCUAACGUCCGUCGUGAAGAGGGAAACAACCCAGACCGCCAGCUAAGGUCCCAAAGUCAUGGUUAAGUGGGAAACGAUGUGGGAAGGCCCAGACAGCCAGGAUGUUGGCUUAGAAGCAGCCAUCAUUUAAAGAAAGCGUAAUAGCUCACUGGUCGAGUCGGCCUGCGCGGAAGAUGUAACGGGGCUAAACCAUGCACCGAAGCUGCGGCAGCGAACGUAUCACCCAAGACAACUUUACGGAGUUGACGAUUGACGGAGCGAAGCGACGUCAAAGCGUUCAUUAAAGUCGAGUUGGCUUAGGGAUACGUUCGUUGGGUAGGGGAGCGUUCUGUAAGCCUGUGAAGGUGUGUCGUGAGGCAUGCUGGAGGUAUCAGAAGUGCGAAUGCUGACAUAAGUAACGAUAAAGCGGGUGAAAAGCCCGCUCGCCGGAAGACCAAGGGUUCCUGUCCAACGUUAAUCGGGGCAGGGUGAGUCGACCCCUAAGGCGAGGCCGAAAGGCGUAGUCGAUGGGAAACGGGUUAAUAUUCCCGUACUUGGUGUUACUGCGAAGGGGGGACGGAGAAGGCUAUGUUGGCCGGGCGACGGUUGUCCCGGUUUAAGCGUGUAGGUGUGUGUUCCAGGUAAAUCCGGUUCACUUUAACACUGAGGCGUGAUGACGAGGCACUACGGUGCUGAAGCAACAAAUGCCCUGCUUCCAGGAAAAGCCU
rnacentral:rRNA from 2 species